rnacentral:rRNA from 1 species
AGAGUUUGAUCCUGGCUCAGGACGAACGCUGGCGGCGUGUCUAAGGCAUGCAAGUCGAACGGUCUGUUGUUCUUCGGAGUAACAGAUAGUGGCAAACGGGAGCGUAACACAUUGGUAACCUACCUCGGGAUUGUGAAUAAUUCCGCGAAAGCGGGACUAAUACACAAUAUGGAUGGGGGGUCAUAUGACAUUCCCAUUGAAAGUUCCGACGUCUCGAGAGGGGCCUAUGUCCUAUCAGCUAGUUGGUGAGGUAAAAGCUCACCAAGGCUAUGACGGGUAUCGGGCGUGAGAGCGUGGCCCGACUCACUGGGACUGAGACACUGCCCAGACACCUACGGGUGGCUGCAGUCGAGAAUAUUCCGCAAUGGGCGAAAGCCUGACGGAGCGACGCCGCGUGCCGGAAGAAGGCCUUCGGGUUGUAAACGGCUUUUAUUAGGGACGAACAAAUGACGGUACCUAAGGAAUCAGGGGUUGCUAACUCUGUGCCAGCAGCAGCGGUAAUACAGAGACCCCAAGCGUUGUCCGGAUUUAUUGGGCGUAAAGGGUUCGUAGGUGGCUUUGUGCGUCAUGUGUAAAAUCUCUGGGCUCAACCCAGAACCUGCGCGUGAUACGGCAAGGCUAGAGGAUGGGAGAGGUGCACGGAAUUGUCGGUGUAGCGGUAAAAUGCGUUUAUAUCGGCAAGAACACCAAAGGCGAAAGCAGUGCACUGGAACAUCCCUGACACUGAGGAACGAAAGCGUGGGUAGCGAAUGGGAUUAGAUACCCCAGUAGUCCACGCCCUAAACGAUGAGUGCUAGGUAUCGGGAGUAUCGACCCUCUCGGUGCCGUUCUAACCAAGCUAACGCGUUAAGCACUCCGCCUGGGGAGUACGGCCGCAAGGCUAAAACUCAAAGGAAUAGACGGGGACCCGCACAAGCGGUGGAGCGUGUGGUUUAA